rnacentral:rRNA from 1 species
CACGUAGGGGGCGAGCGUUGUCCGGAUUUAUUGGGCGUAAAGAGCUCGUAGGUGGCUUAGUAAGUCGGGUGUGAAACCUCCAGGCUCAACCUGGAGACGCCACCCGAUACUGCUAUAGCCUGAGUCCGGUAGGGGAGCGUGGAAUUCCUGGUGUAGCGGUGAAAUGCGCAGAUAUCAGGAGGAACACCAGCGGCGAAGGCGGCGCUCUGGGCCGGUACUGACACUGAGGAGCGAAAGCGUGGGGAGCAAACAGG